GCCACACACACACACACACAUACACAUACAUAUGUAAGUGUAUGUGUGGGUGUGUGUGGC
rnacentral:precursor_RNA from 1 species